rnacentral:lncRNA from 1 species
GCGCCGGCGGUUGGGCGCCGUCGCUGCGUGAGAGAGAGAGAGAGGCGGCUAGGGUUUGGGCUCCCGUUUCCUGAGGGAGACGACAACAUAAUACUGUUUAUUGUCUCCUUAAUAUCGAAGGGGUACAUGUGUUUAUAUAGGAGGACAGCCUCCACUAAACCCUAGAUAACUUGGGCUAAGCCCCUAAUGCGGCCCACUAUUGGACCUCUUCGGUGCAUAUUGGAGCCCGACCAUAACAACUCAACCCUACUACCAAAACCCUAAUUGUUUCCCUACUCCCACGAUCUUUCUCUGGAUCCCAUUCUUCCCGAACAGUAUUACGUUUCUGUAUCCGUACAUGCGGAAGUUUCCGUUUAUUUUUUGUCUAUAUUGCCAACUCCAGGCCAACACAUAUACACUUUUGGCCCAACUCA